GACGAACGCUGGCGGCGUGCUUAACACAUGCAAGUCGAACGGAAAGGCCCUGCUUUUGUGGGGUGCUCGAGUGGCGAACGGGUGAGUAACACGUGAGUAACCUGCCCUUGACUUUGGGAUAACUUCAGGAAACUGGGGCUAAUACCGGAUAGGAGCUCCUGCUGCAUGGUGGGGGUUGGAAAGUUUCGGCGGUGGGGGAUGGACUCGCGGCUUAUCAGCUUGUUGGUGGGGUAGUGGCUUACAAAGGCUUUGACGGGUAGCCGGCCUGAGAGGGUGAACGGCCACAUUGGGACUGAGAUACGGCGCAGUCUCCUAUGGGAGGCAGCAGUGGGGAAUAUUGCACAAUGGGCGGAAGCCUGAGGCAGCAACGCCGCGUGCGGGAUGACGGCCUUCGGGUUGUAAACCGAUUUCGCCUGUGACGAAGCGUGAGUGACGGUAAUGGGUAAAGAAGCACCGGCUAACUACGUG
rnacentral:rRNA from 1 species